UACGAGGGGGGCGAGCGUUGUUCGGAAUUAUUGGGCGUAAAGGGUGCGUAGGCGGUUCGGUAAGUUUUAUGUGAAAUCUUCGGGCUUAACUCGAAGCCUGCAUAAAAUACUGCCGGGCUUGAGUAUGGGAGAGGUGAGUGGAACUGCGAGUGUAGAGGUGAAAUUCGUAGAUAUUCGCAAGAACACCAGUGGCGAAAGCGGCUCACUGGCCCGUUUCUGACGCUCAGGCGCGACAGCGUGGGGAUCAAACAGG
rnacentral:rRNA from 1 species